UGAGGAAUAUUGGUCAAUGGGCGAGAGCCUGAACCAGCCACGUCGCGUGAAGGAAGACUGACCUUACGGUUUGUAAACUUCUUUUGUAGAGGGGUAAUGGCAGAUACGUGUAUUUGCGUGAAAGUACUCUACGAAUAAGCAUCGGCUAACUCCGUGCCAGCAGCCGCGGUAAUACGGGGGAUGCGAGCGUUAUCCGGAAUUAUUGGGUUUAAAGGGUGCGUAGGUGGCUGAUUAAGUCAGUGGUGAAAAGCUAUGGCUCAACCAUAGUCUUGCCGUUGAUACUGGUUAGCUUGAGUGUAGAUGAUGUAGGCGGAACGUGUAGUGUAGCGGUGAAAUGCAUAGAUAUUACGCAGAACUCCGAUUGCGAAGGCAGCUUACAAAACUACUACUGACACUGAGGCACGAAAGCGUGGGUAUCAAACAGG
rnacentral:rRNA from 1 species